rnacentral:rRNA from 1 species
UACGUAGGGGGCAAGCGUUGUCCGGAUUUAUUGGGCGUAAAGAGCGUGUAGGCGGCCAUACAGGUCAGCUGUGAAAACUCGAGGCUCAACCUCGAGACGUCGGUUGAAACCGUAUGGCUAGAGUCCGGAAGAGGAGAGUGGAAUUCCCGGUGUAGCGGUGAAAUGCGCAGAUAUCGGGAAGAACACCCGUGGCGAAGGCGGCUCACUGGCUCGUUUCUGACGCUCAGGCGCGACAGCGUGGGGAUCAAACAGG